rnacentral:rRNA from 1 species
GGACCCGCACAAGCAGUGGAGCAUGUGGUUUAAUUCGAUGCAACGCGAAGAACCUUACCCAGACUUGACAUGCACUGGACCGUGCUAGAAAUAGCACUUCCCUUCGGGGCCGGUGCACAGGUGCUGCA